CUUAGUGGCGGACGGGUGAGUAACGCGUGGGUAACCGUGCCUCAUACAGGGGGAGUAACAGUUGGAAACGGCUGCUAAUACCGCAUAAGCGCACAGUACCGCAUGGUACCGUGUGAAAAACUCCGGUGGUAUGAGAUGGACCCGCGUCUGAUUAGCUAGUUGGUGGGGUAACGGCCUACCAAGGCGACGAUCAGUAGCCGACCUGAGAGGGUGACCGGCCACAUUGGGACUGAGACACGGCCCAGACUCCUACGGGAGGCAGCAUG
rnacentral:rRNA from 1 species